GCCAUGAUGGUGCAACGGCUAACAUGCACGCUUCCCAAACAGGCAGAAGCCUUGGAAUUAGCGUGAGACCGGGGUUCGACUCCCCGUCAUGGCA